rnacentral:rRNA from 1 species
UAUGGGUUAGGUGGUCGGACGGGUGGAGUAACGACGUGGGUACCGUAGCUACUACAGGGGAGUAACACUUAGAAUAAGUAGCUAAACCGACCAUAAGCGCACAGCUUCGCAUGAAGCGGUGUGAAAACUACCGGUGGUGUAGAUGGACCCGCGUCUGAUUAGCUUGUUGGCGGGGUAACGGCCCACCAAGGCGACGAUCAGUAGCCGGCCUGAGAGGGCGGACGGCCACAUUGGGACUGAGACACGGCCCAGACUCCUACGGGAGGCAGCAGUGGGGAAUAUUGCACAAUGGGGGAAACCCUGAUGCAGCGGCGCCGCGUGAGUGAAGAAGUAAUUCGUUACGUAAAGCUCUAUCAGCAGGGAAGAAAUACUGACCUUACGGUCAGCAGACGGUACCUGAGUAAGAAGCCCCGGCUAACUACGUG